rnacentral:lncRNA from 1 species
AUUAGAAUAGAGUUGUCUGUGAUGGUGGAGAUUGGCUGAAAAGGGGCUCAAGGGAUCUUUCUGGUUGGUGGAAAUAUCCUGUCUUGAUUGGAGCUUUAGUUAUGCAGAAUCAGUAAAUGGCCAUAGUCUUUUCAAGAUACAUAAUUCUACAAAAAAAUACAACCAAGGCUUCAAACAACUAUAAAACAAAGUGAUGACAUUACAGAUAAAAUGAUAACAGAGUUUUCAACAGACUGACGCUCCCUUAAAGUUCAUUUUAGUCGAGUAAGUCAUCUGAAUCAUAACUGGAAAUGCGUCUAAGCUACUGCCCAUAUCUCUGUGAUAUACUUCAAAAUAACCUUGGUUUGAAUUAAGCUUGCAGAUAAAUGAUCCUUGACUAACAUAGAUCUCAAAAGUAUGAAAAGCUUUUGCUUGGGAAUGCCUGCAUGAAGAGACUAUGAAGGACAAAAAUAUCUUAAUAUGGAGCAGAAAUCUUAAAGGAAGAAAUCCAUGGUUAAGAAGACAACUUGUCACUAUUCUCUAAAAUUUGAGCAUUUAAAUGACAAAGCAACAACAUAGUGA